GCUGACACAUCCCGGUCAAUCUCCAGCAGACCCUCCCUCCCAGACCCUCCUACUUCCUGGACAGCAUCCAUGUUGAAGGCAGCUUCAACAUGGAUGCUGUCCAGGAGGUGGGAGGGUCUGGGAGGGAGGGUCUGCCGGAGAUUGGCAGGGAUGUGUCAG